rnacentral:rRNA from 1 species
GUGGGGAAUAUUGGACAAUGGGCGGAAGCCUGAUCCAGCAACGCCGCGUGAGGGAUGACGGCCUUCGGGUUGUAAACCUCUUUCAGCACAGACGAAGCUGACUCCACGUGUGGGGUGGGUGACGGUAUGUGCAGAAGAAGCACCGGCCAACUACGUGCCAGCAGCCGCGGUAAUACGUAGGGUGCGAGCGUUGUCCGGAAUUAUUGGGCGUAAAGGGCUCGUAGGCGGUUUGUCGCGUCGGGAGUGAAAUCCACUGGCUUAACUGGUGGCUUGCUUUCGAUACGGGCAGACUGGAGGUAUGCAGGGGAGAACGGAAUUCCUGGUGUAGCGGUGAAAUGCGCAGAUAUCAGGAGGAACACCGGUGGCGAAGGCGGUUCUCUGGGCAUGUCCUGACGCUGAGGAGCGAAAGUGUGGGGAGCGAACAGGAUUAGAAACCCGAGUAGUCC